rnacentral:snRNA from 1 species
UAAAAUGAUCCUGUUUUCACUGGGCCAAUACAGAGAAAAUUAGGAUGGCCCCUAUGCAAGGAUAACAUGCAAACUUGCGAAACAUUCACUAUUUUU